UCCACACCGUAAACGAUGGAUACUAGGUGUCGGGGACUUGAUCUUCGGUGCCGUAGCUAACGCGUUAAGUAUCCCGCCUGGGGAGUACGGUCGCAAGGCUGAAACUCAAAGAAAUUGACGGGGGCCCGCACAAGCGGUGGAGUAUGUGGUUUAAUUCGAUGCAACGCGAAGAACCUUACCUAGGCUUGACAUCCUGGGAAUCCUGCAGAGAUGCGGGAGU
rnacentral:rRNA from 1 species